UCCGGAAUUAUUGGGCGUAAAGCGUCCGCAGGGGGCGCAUCAAGUCUGCUGUUAAAGGUCGGAGCUAAACUCCGGUAGAGCAGUGGAAACUGGUGCGCUAGAGGGCGACAGGGGUAGAGGGAAUUCCCAGUGUAGCGGUGAAAUGCGUAGAGAUUGGGAAGAACACCGGUGGCGAAAGCGCUCUACUGGGUCGCACCUGACCCUCAGGGACGAAAGCUAAGGUAGCGAAAGGGAUUAGAUACCCCUGUAGUCUUAGCCGUAAACGAUGGAUACUAGGCGUGGUUUGUAUCGACCCAAGCCGUGCCGAAGCUAACGCGUUAAGUAUCCCGCCUGGGGAGUACGCACGCAAGUGUGAAACUCAAAGGAAUUGACGGGGGCCCGCACAAGCGGUGGAGGAUGUGGUUUAAUUCGAUGCAACGCGAAGAACCUUACCAGGGCUUGACAUCCCGCGAAUCUCUCGGAAAGGAGAGAGUGCCUACGGGAACGCGGAGACAGGUGGUGCAUGGCUGUCGUCAGCUCGUGUCGUGAGAUGUUGGGUUAAGUCCCGCAACGAGCGCAACCCUCGUCCUUAGUUGCCAGCAUUAAGUUGGGCACUCUAGGGAGACUGCCGGUGACAAACCGGAGGAAGGUGAGGAUGACGUCAAGUCAGCAUGCCCCUUAUGCUCUGGGCAACACACGUCCUACAAUGGUCGGGACAAAGGGGAGCAAGCUCGCGAGAGUAAGCGAAUCCCAGCAAACUCGGCCUCAGUUCAGAUAGCAGGCUGCAACUCGCCUGCUGAAGGAGGAAUCGCU
rnacentral:rRNA from 1 species